GAACAGCCAGUGUUGCAAGGCUAGCACCUGUUGAAUUACGACUGAACGCCUCUAAGUCGGAAUUCAUGCUGACUGUGCAGUGUUCAAGUACUCCUCAAGCAGAGUGUGAGAUAUAUUCGAUCAACACAUGUGCCCAGAGUGUUAAAACUAUGGGUUAUGACGAUGUGCAGGUUGCUUGAGGAGGGUGGACUUUUUGCAGAUGACUGAGAU
rnacentral:rRNA from 1 species